rnacentral:rRNA from 2 species
GGGGCUGCUCCUAGUACGAGAGGACCGGAGUGGACGCAUCACUGGUGUUCGGGUUGUCAUGCCAAUGGCACUGCCCGGUAGCUAAAUGCGGAAGAGAUAAGUGCUGAAAGCAUCUAAGCACGAAACUUGCCCCGAGAUGAGUUCUCCCUGACCCUUUAAGGGUCCUGAAGGAACGUUGAAGACGACGACGUUGAUAGGCCGGGUGUGUAAGCGCAGCGAUGCGUUGAGCUAACCGGUACUAAUGAACCGUGAGGCUUAACCUUACAACGCCGAAG